rnacentral:rRNA from 1 species
GACGAACGCUGGCGGCGUGCUUAACGCAUGCAAGUCGAACGGAAAGGCCCUGCUUUUGUGGGGUGCUCGAGUGGCGAACGGGUGAGUAACACGUGAGUAACCUGCCCUUGACUUUGGGAUAACUUCAGGAAACUGGGGCUAAUACCGGAUAGGAGCUCCUGCUGCAUGGUGGGGGUUGGAAAGUUUCGGCGGUUGGGGAUGGACUCGCGGCUUAUCAGCUUGUUGGUGGGGUAGUGGCUUACCAAGGCUUUGACGGGUAGCCGGCCUGAGAGGGUGACCGGCCACAUUGGGACUGAGAUACGGCCCAGACUCCUACGGGAGGCAGCAGUGGGGAAUAUUGCACAAUGGGCGGAAGCCUGAUGCAGCAACGCCGCGUGCGGGAUGACGGCCUUCGGGUUGUAAACCGCUUUCGCCUGUGACGAAGCGUGAGUGACGGCAAUGGGUAAAGAAGCACCGGCUAACUACG